rnacentral:rRNA from 1 species
AUUGAACGCUGGCGGCAGGCCUAACACAUGCCAGUCGAGCGGAGCGGCGGACGGGUGAGUAAUGCCUGGGAAUCUGCCUAGUAGUGGGGGAUACCGUCCGGAAACGGGCGCUAAUACCCCAUACUAUCAGCUUAGCCUAGGUCGGAUUAGCUAGUUGGUGGGGAAAAGGCCUACCAAGGCGACGAUCCGUAACUGGACUGAGAGGAUGAUCAGUCAAACGGGAACUGAGAAACGGUCCAGACUCCUACGGGAGGAAGCAGGGGGGAAUAUUGGACAAUGGGCGAAAGCCGUAACCAGCCAUUCCGGGUGUGGGAAGAAGGUCUUCGGAUUGUAAAGCACUUUAAGUUGGGAGGCGUUACCAACAAAAUAAUAACGGGCUAACUCCGUGCCAGCAGCCGCGGUAAUU